ACUCCUACGGGAGGCAGCAGUGGGGAAUAUUGGACAAUGGGCGCAAGCCUGAUCCAGCCAUGCCGCGUGAGUGAUGAAGGCCCUAGGGUUGUAAAGCUCUUUCAGCGAGGAGGAUAAUGACGUUACUCGCAGAAGAACGCCCCGGCUAACUUCGUGCCAGCAGCCGCGGUAAUACGAAGGGGCUAGCGUUGUUCGGAAUCACUGGGCGUAAAGCGCACGUAGGCGGACUGAUCAGUCAGGGGUGAAAUCCCGGGGCUCAACCCCGGAACUGCCUUUGAUACUGUCAGUCUUGAGUCCGAGAGAGGUGAGUGGAACUCCGAGUGUAGAGGUGAAAUUCGUAGAUAUUCGGAAGAACACCAGUGGCGAAGGCGGCUCACUGGCUCGGUACUGACGCUGAGGUGCGAAAGCGUGGGAGCAAACAGGAUUAGAUACCCUGGUAGCGAGUAG
rnacentral:rRNA from 1 species